rnacentral:rRNA from 1 species
GCGCAGCAGUCGCGAAUACUUUACAAUGUGCGAAAGCACGAUAAGGGAACUCUGAGUGCCUCCUAAGGAGGCUGUUCAGGUGUCUAAAAGCACCUGAAGGAAGGGCUGGGUAAGACCGGUGCCAGCCGCCGCGGUAACACCGGCAGCCCAAGUGGUAGCCACGUUUAUUGGGUCUAAAGCGUCCGUAGCCGGCUGGGUAAGUUCCUUGGGAAAUUUGGCUGCUUAACAGUCAAGCUUUCAGGGAAUACUGCUCGGCUUGGGACCGGGAGAGGUCAGAGGUACUCCAGGGGUAGGGGUGAAAUCCAUUAAUCCUUGGGGGACCACCGGUAGCGAAGGCGUCUGACCAGACCGGGUCCGACGGUGAGGGACGAAGGCUAGGGGCGCGAACCGGAUUAGAUACCCGUGUAGU